UAAGGAAUAUUGGUCAAUGGACGCAAGUCUGAACCAGCCAUGCCGCGUGAAGGAUUAAGGCCCUCUGGGUUGUAAACUUCCUUUAUAGGGGAAGAAAUGUGACGGUUCUCCGUCACUUGACGGUACCCUGGGAAUAAGCACCGGCUAACUCCGUGCCAGCAGCCGCGGUAAUACGGAGGGUGCAAGCGUUAUCCGGAUUCACUGGGUUUAAAGGGUGCGUAGGUGGGUUGCCAAGUCCGUGGUGAAAUCUCUGAGCUUAACUCAGAAACUGCCGUGGAUACUGGUGAUCUUGAAUAUCGUUGAGGUAAGCGGAAUAUGUCAUGUCGCGGUCAAAUGCUUAGAUAUGACAUAGAACACCGAUAGCGGAGGCAGCUUACUAAGCGAUCAUUGACGCUGAGGCACGAAAGCGUGGGGAGCAAACA
rnacentral:rRNA from 1 species